CCUACGGGUGGCAGCAGUGAGGAAUAUUGGUCAAUGGGCGCGAGCCUGAACCAGCCAAGUAGCGUGAAGGAUGACUGCCAUACGGGUUGUAAACUUCUUUUAUAAAGGAAUAAAGUGAGGCACGUGUGCCUUUUUGUAUGUACUUUAUGAAUAAGGAUCGGCUAACUCCGUGCCAGCAGCCGCGGUAAUACGGAGGAUCCGAGCGUUAUCCGGAUUUAUUGGGUUUAAAGGGCGCGUAGAUGGGUUGUUAAACCAUGUGUGAAAGUUUGCGGCUCAACCGUAAAAUUGCAAUUGAUACUGGCAGCCUUGAGUACAGUUGAGGUAGGCGGAAUGCGUGGUGUAGCGGUGAAAUGCUGAGAUAUCACGAAGAACUCCGAUUGCGAAGGCAGCUUACUAAACUGCCACUGACAUUGAUGCUCGAAAGUGUGGGUAUCAAACAGGAUUAGAUACCCUGGUAGUC
rnacentral:rRNA from 1 species